ACUGCAAGUCGCACGAGAAAUCCUGGGCAACUGGGAGAGUAAAGUGGCGUACGGGUGAGUAACGCGUGGGUAACCUGCCCUUAGAUUGGGGAUAACUUCGCGAAAGUGGGGCUAAUACUCAAUAAUAUUUUAAUCUCUAAGGGGAUUGGAAUUAAAGGUGGUCUCUGCAUGCAAGCUACUGUCUAAGGAUGGGCCCGCGUACCAUUAGCUAGUUGGUAGGGUAAUGGCUUACCAAGGCAACGAUGGUUAGCUGGUCUGAGAGGACGGCCAGCCACACUGGAACUGAGACACGGUCCAGACUCCUACGGGAGGCAGCAGUGGGGAAUCUUGCGCAAUGGGGGAAACCCUGACGCAGCAACGCCGCGUGGGUGAUGAAGGCUUUCGGGUCGUAAAGCCCUGUCAGGUGGGAAGAAAUAUGCCAAUAUGAAUAAUAUUGACAUUUGACGUACUACCGG
rnacentral:rRNA from 1 species